rnacentral:lncRNA from 1 species
AGGACUUAGCAUACACUGACUGUGUGGCAGCCACUCGGUGACCUUGGCUCAUUAUACUGGCUCUUUUGCUGCCCCCAGAGUCCCUGCUUACAGAUGGGGAUCCUGAGACUCAGCAAAAAAGCAGAAUGGAACCCAGGACCCCGAAGGGUGGGGUCCGUCAGUCUGUCUAUCCGAUCCUUCUCAUGAUGUGGAGUUUCCGGGGGAUUCCCCACCCAGAACGCAGAGCCUUCCAGAAUCCGUCACGAGGAACCAGGCACUUAAACAUCUGACCAAGGACAGAGAACUGGGACCCACAUCAGUCAACGUUCCGCUGCUGGGCCAGACUGGCGAGUGAACCUGUAAAUAGCCCCAACCCACUGUCGAUGACAGCUGCCGCCGACCCGUCCGCGGCCCCGCAGGCCUUGGAGGAUGCCAGCCAUUCAGUCACGAGAGACAGCGAGAGAACACAAGCAGGGGGAGAGGGAGAAGCAGGCUUCCCGCUGAGCAGGGAGCCUGAUGCGGGGCUCCAUCCCAGGACCCCGGGAUCAUUACCUGAGCUGAAGGCAGAAGCUUAACGACUGAACCACCCGGGUGCCCCAAUAAUAAUUAUUAAAAUAGUUAUAGUGACAGCUCUCCUUCCCUCGGUACCCACUAAGUGGCCACAGUCCUCUACAAGCCCC